rnacentral:rRNA from 1 species
AUUGAACGCUGGCGGCAUGCCUUACACAUGCAAGUCGAACGGUAACGCGGGGCAACCUGGCGACGAGUGGCGAACGGGUGAGUAAUGUAUCGGAACGUGCCCAGUUGUGGGGGAUAACUGCUCGAAAGAGCAGCUAAUACCGCAUACGACCUGAGGGUGAAAGUGGGGGAUCGCAAGACCUCGCGCAAUUGGAGCGGCCGAUAUCAGAUUAGGUAGUUGGGGGGGUAAAGGCUCACCAAGCCAACGAUCUGUAGCUGGUCUGAGAGGACGACCAGCCACACUGGGACUGAGACACGGCCCAGACUCCGACGGGAGGCAGCAGUGGGGAAUUUUGGACAAUGGACGCAAGUCUGAUCCAGCCAUGCCGCGUGCGGGAAGAAGGCCUUCGGGUUGUAAACCGCUUUUGUCAGGGAAGAAACGCUCUGGGUUAAUACCUCGGGGUAAUGACGGUACCUGAAGAAUAAGCACCGGCUAACUACGUGCCAGCAGCCGCCGUAACAC